rnacentral:rRNA from 1 species
UACGGAGGGUGCAAGCGUUAUCCGGAUUCACUGGGUUUAAAGGGUGCGUAGGAGGGCAGGUAAGUCAGUGGUGAAAUCUCCGAGCUUAACUUGGAACUGCCGUUGAUACUAUCUGUCUUGAAUAUUGUGGAGGUGAGCGGAAUAUGUCAUGUAGCGGUGAAAUGCUUAGAUAUGACAUUAGAACACCAAUUGCGAAGGCAGCUCGCUACACAUAUAUUGACUCUGAGGCACGAA